rnacentral:sRNA from 1 species
AUUGAAAAGUAUUUUAAUUAAACCAAUGAUUGAAUGACAACUGUGAGAAACGUUGUCGAUAAGUUUCUCUUGGUUUCUCUAAAGAGAAACUUUCCCUUACCUCUCUCCUCCUUUGGACAUUUCUUUUCUUAUUUUAUUGGUGAGAGAUUUUAUGAGAAACUCCCGUUGGAGUUGGUCUGACACAGGCGGCCCUAGGUUCUAGAACGGUAUAACGAGAAACCAACGUACGACGAGAGACCAAAAAGUAAUAUUAACAUAUACGAUCUUACAAAAAGUACUCAUUAUUGGAAGUUUGGGGCAACAUCACAAG